rnacentral:lncRNA from 1 species
AUAUUGUACCUAUUUUCCCGUUUUUCCUACGUUUUUCCCAUUUAUUUGAAAAGCUCCUGGAAAAUUAAAAAAAAUGACCUCCUUAAAGUCCCUUUCCUCAAAUAUUUCCUUUUAAAAAAAAUUGUAUCAUUGUAAAUCAGAGGAACAUUGCUCGUAGAAAAGUUGUUCACAAGAACAAACAAAUUCCGUAUUAUUUUUUUUAGUUUUGUAUUAAUUUAUUUUUAAUAUCGUAAAUAUUUAUCGGGUUUUUGAAAUUUCCAAAAAUUAAAAAAAAAAAAAAAACAUUUGCGCAUUCAACGUAUACAACUAUACAGUUCAUAAUGUGCAACGUGCAACGUCUCUAGGUCAGGGGCGUACAUGGUAGGAUGAAGGUGUCGCAUAUCCCUGGUGACCUUUUUUUUUUUUACCUAUUACUAAUUAUAUGUUACGAGUUACACACAAACUCUUAUGCAAAUGCUGAGCAUACCGCUGUACUGGACCACAUAAUAAUUAUCCCGCAAAAAAAUUCGGGUGUGCACCAUUGAAUCUCAGCUCGACCGGAAACAAUCGUAAGAAACAGAAUUAUAAAUCAAAUUAUCGUAAAUUAUACUGACUAGUUGGACCUAUAGCAUACAACUGUGGAGCUAACAAAUACGGUAGUAAAUCUAACGUCAAAUUCAGUCAAUGUUGUAAAAAUAAUUUCACUAUUCGUAUCAUUGAAGCAGCAGUAUAUAGGUAUAGACACACUAGGUAUCAUGAUUUGAGGAUAUACAAUUUAUCCAAAACGUAAACAAGAAGUUCGCCGAAAAUCAUGCGAGUAGACUAUACGGAGUUCUAUACCAAUGUGACUGGUAAACAACUCCAUAAUAACUCAUAGAAUACGAGGCGGCGCCUCGAAUGCCUAUGGAUUCAUAUAACUUAGUUUAAAUGACUUAGGUAUCGCUAAAGAUUGAGGCUACUUCUCUGAAGUUAUGACUCUGAAUAUGAUCCAUGUUUAUCGUGCACUUACAAUAUAUAUAUAUAUAUUUCUCAUAUUGUAUUACUUAUUAUUUAUAUGCUCGGCGUCAGGCACGUAGCCAGCAUUCAAUUUGCAUGCAUGAUUGAUACGUAAAACAUUUUAUUUUUUUUUUAUAAACUGACAAAUAUUUUAUAAUGGCUUUCUUGGCUUCGCUCGUAUCUAGUCAGCAAAGUAAAAUAGGUAAAAGACCACACCGCCUAUUCAGUCUACUCAACGCUAUCGUCUGGCGUACCGCAGGGCGCUGUACUAUCUCCUAUACUAUUCUCCCUAUUUAUAAACUCAGCUGUCUCGGUACUACAUCAUUCUAAAAUUCUCGUCUUUGCUUAUGAUACGAAAUUCUUCCUCCGCAUAAAAUACAUUUCUGACUGUAGGUUUCUCCGGAAUCAACUUCAACGUUUAGUAUCAUGGACACUUACAAACAUCGAAUUGCUUAGUUAUGACAUUCUGUCGUACCAAUUCUGCAGUCAAGUAUACUUACUCUGUCAAUAACAUACCCUUGUCAAUUGUAAAUGACACUUUAAAAGACUUAGGUUUCACUCUUGCACAGUCUCUAUGCCUUAAUAUGCAUAUCUAAGUAAUAAUUGUAAGGCUUCCAAAUUAUUGGGUUUCAUUAAUCGGAUAUCUACGGAAGUUUCUCUGGUCGCUCCAUUAAAAGCUCUUUUUUGUUCUCUAGUGAGUCCUAUUCUCGAAUACGACUCUGUGCUCUGGGACCCUUCUACCGCUGCCAUUCGUUAUAUGAUAGAAAAGGUCCGAAGAAAAUCCCUUCGUCAUGCUGCCUUUAAACACCCUUUCCCUCAUGAUUAUACCCCUGUCCAACGCUUUUUAUCCAUGGAUAGUCUCUCUGACUGUCGGCACUCUGCAUGCAUCUCAUUCCUAUCUAACCUUUUUCCCUCUAAAAUUGAUUGUUCCGAGAUUAUAUUCCGCAUCACAUUUAACGUUCCCUAUCGUCGCACACGUUCAUCGAUCCCAUUCCAUAUUUCUUUAUUUUCAUCUAAUUAUCUUCUCCGUUCUCUUAUUCGUCUUAUGCGGCGCACCGCUAAUACCAACACUUCUUUUGAUUUAACUUUUUAAUCAACUUUCAUCACGUUUUAUUAUUCUAUAUAUAUAUAUAUAUAUUUGUUAAUGUAUAUUUUAUUGUAUAAUACUAAGUAUGUACAUUGUAAUCUGGGCUAGUCCUGUAGUAAAUAGACAAAUAAAUAAAUAAAUAAUAC